UACGUAGGGGGCUAGCGUUGUCCGGAAUCAUUGGGCGUAAAGCGCGCGUAGGCGGUCAGGUAAGUCCGGUGUGAAAGUCAAAGGCUCAACCUUUGAAUGCCGCUGGAUACUGCCUGACUUGAGUCCGGAAGGGGCGAGUGGAAUUCCUGGUGUAGCGGUGGAAUGCGCAGAUAUCAGGAGGAACACCAAUAGCGAAGGCAGCUCGCUGGGACGUUACUGACACUGAGGCGCGAAAGCGUGGGGAGCGAACACG
rnacentral:rRNA from 1 species